rnacentral:miRNA from 1 species
ACCCCUGCCACUCACUGGCC